GGGUAGUUUGACUGGGGCGGUCUCCUCCUAAAGAGUAACGGAGGAGCACGAAGGUUGGCUAAUCCUGGUCGGACAUCAGGAGGUUAGUGCAAUGGCAUAAGCCAGCUUGACUGCGAGCGUGACGGCGCGAGCAGGUGCGAAAGCAGGUCAUAGUGAUCCGGUGGUUCUGAAUGGAAGGGCCAUCGCUCAACGGAUAAAAGGUACUCCGGGGAUAACAGGCUGAUACCGCCCAAGAGUUCAUAUCGACGGCGGUGUUUGGCACCUCGAUGUCGGCUCAUCACAUCCUGGGGCUGAAGUAGGUCCCAAGGGUAUGGCUGUUCGCCAUUUAAAGUGGUACGCGAGCUGGGUUUAGAACGUCGUGAGACAGUUCGGUCCCUAUCUGCCGUGGGCGCUGGAGAACUGAGGGGGGCUGCUCCUAGUACGAGAGGACCGGAGUGGACGCAUCACUGGUGUUCGGGUUGUCAUGCCAAUGGCACUGCCCGGUAGCUAAAUGCGGAAGAGAUAAGUGCUGAAAGCAUCUAAGCACGAAACUUGCCCCGAGAUGAGUUCUCCCUGACUCCUUGAGAGUCCUGAAGGAACGUUGAAGACGACGACGUUGAUAGGCCGG
rnacentral:rRNA from 1 species